rnacentral:lncRNA from 1 species
GGCAUCUAGAACACUGAGAAAUCCAGGAUGGACACUUAACACUACCAAAGAUUGAUCUAUUUUGGAAUUAGUUCUUUAGAUCAGAGGUCCCCAACCCCGGGACUGCAGACUGCCACUGAUCUUUGGCCUGUCAGGCACCCAGCCACACAGCAGGAGUGUGAAAAAAAAGGAAAAAACUGAAAAUCUCAAGAGGAUUCCAGGAAAUCAAAACAAUGAAUUAUUGAAUAAAGAAUUUGAAAGAGAAAAUAGAUGCAUACUGAAAAAAGAAUUUUGUUUAGUGAGAUAGAUGUAAUAAUGAAGGCAUGUUGAUAACGGGGGAGCUAUGUAUAUAUGAGGGGAGGGAUAUAUCGGAAAUCUCUGUAUCUUCCUCUCAAUCUUUCUUUGAUCCUAAAACUGCUCUAAAAAAUAUUUUGAGAAGGAAUAGUGAUGUAGUAAACAUGUUCUGUUAUUUAAAAAGAGAGACUUUUCAUAGCCAUCUCCCUCCCCCUCUACACACACACACAGUCAUGUCCGUCUUCAUUCCCUUACUCAAUAAUUUGUACAGACACACCCACUGGGCUCCAGUAAUCCUAAAGUUUCUAGAAAAUCAAGCACAGAAAAAGGUUAAAACCCUGAGGGAAUAAAAGAAUUCCUUUACGUCCAUUGCAUUUCUCAGGAAGUGAACUAA